rnacentral:lncRNA from 1 species
GUUUAAGACCAGCCUAAUGCUGCAUCACCAGGCUGCUCUGGGGAAAACUGGUUUCUCUCUUUUUCAGUAAAAGCCAGAAGAUAGCCAGCCUGAACAGACGAGUAGAAUGAGGUGCUGAGUGCAGGUGAAGCACAGAAAGGUGUCUCAUUUCUGCAUGUACAUCCUGUAGUGCUGAGCUCCUCUCCAGGGACCUGCUGGUUCUGCCAUGGUGUGGAGAUGUUUGGCUCUGGUGGAUGCUCUCUCCAGG